CCACAUCUAUCUAACUUCUCUCUAGCUUCUCUCUUCCCAAACUCAAACCUCCAUUGAAGGAACACUAGAGCUCCAAGUCAAGGAUGGAUUCACCAAGGUUUUAAUCACAAAUUCGUGGAAAUAUCAUCACUAAGGUUCUGGUCAAUGAAGAGCUUCUAAUUCUCGUUGCAAGGAUACUUUGACUUCUUCCUCUAAGUAGUUGGUGAGUCCUCCAUGUUUGAGGAUGGUGCCUUUUGAUCCACCCUAGUAGUAUAGAUAUUGUCUAAAGGCAUUUGUUUAUUCCGUAUUCUUGAAGACAUUUGUUGUAAGCCUAUGUGGGAAUAUGUACUUGUGUAAGGGAUAUGCCUGAAUGUUGUACUUUGUUUUAGAUUGUUUAAUCUGAGAAAAGAUUAGACUAAUUCGUAUA